rnacentral:rRNA from 1 species
UUAGUUAGUUGGUGUGGUAACGGCAUACCAAGACGAUGAUGGGUAGGGGUCCUGAGAGGGAGAUCCCCCACACUGGUACUGAGACACGGACCAGACUCCUACGGGAGGCAGCAGUGAGGAAUAUUGGUCAAUGGAGGCAACUCUGAACCAGCCAUGCCGCGUGCAGGAAGAAUCAUCUAUGGUGUGUAAACUGCUUUUGUACGGGAAGAAAAAGAAUUACGAGUAAUUUACUGACGGUACCGUAAGAAUAAGGAUCGGCUAACUCCGUGCCAGCAGCCGCGGUAAUACGGAGGAUCCAAGCGUUAUCCGGAAUCAUUGGGUUUAAAGGGUCCGUAGGCGGCUAUAUAAGUCAGUGGUGAAAGUUUUCGGCUUAACCGAAAAAUUGCCAUUGAUACUGUAUGGCUUGAAUGAUUGUGGAGUAACUAGAAUAUGUAGUGUAGCGGUGAAAUGCUUAGAUAUUACAUGGAAUACCAAUUGCGAAGGCAGGUUACUAACAAUUAAUUGACGCUGAUGGACGAAAGCGUGGGUAGCGAACAGGAUUAGAUACCCUGGUAGUCCACGCCGUAAACGAUGGAUACUAGCUGUUCGGGCGUAAGCUUGAGUGGCUAAGCGAAAGUGAUAAGUUCCCAC